AGUGAACGCUGGCGGUAGGCCUAACACAUGCAAGUCGAACGGCAGCACAGUAAGAGCUUGCUCUUACGGGUGGCGAGUGGCGGACGGGUGAGGAAUACAUCGGAAUCUACUUUUUCGUGGGGGAUAACGUAGGGAAACUUACGCUAAUACCGCAUACGACCUACGGGUGAAAGCAGGGGAUCUUCGGACCUUGCGCGAUUGAAUGAGCCGAUGUCGGAUUAGCUAGUUGGCGGGGUAAAGGCCCACCAAGGCGACGAUCCGUAGCUGGUCUGAGAGGAUGAUCAGCCGCACUGGAACUGAGACACGGUCCAGGCUCCUACGGGAGGCAGCAGUGGGGAAUAUUGGACAAUGGGCGCAAGCCUGAUCCAGCCAUACCGCGUGGGUGAAGAAGGCCUUCGGGUUGUAAAGCCCUUUUGUUGGGAAAGAAAAGCAGCAGGUUAAUACCCCGCUGUUCUGACGGUACCCAAUGAAUAAGCACCGGCUAACUUCGUG
rnacentral:rRNA from 1 species